GAAUAGUACCGCCAUCUUCUUCAUAGUCCAGUCAUAAAUUCACACCCUCAACUCUUCAUCAUUGAUGUCGAAGGUGAGAACAUCCGUGACGGCUUUCCAAACUAACUCCUUGUCACGAUUAGAGACAAAACUGAUUUCAGGAGCACCUCGCUUCACUCUCUAUUCACGAGCACUGAUCGGUAUUCGAUCUCUCACAAGGUAUCUACAGUGACUAACAUAUUUAUUUGCAUGUUCACUAAGUGGUCUGCCUGUAGCUAUCUCAAACUCAGAUAUUACAUAGCGACCCUCCAACGGCUUCUUUGGCCCUCGUGGAGGUACGCUUCUCCCCCUAGAGGUCGAUCCAGAAGGCUACACAUAGAUAUAGAAACAAAAAUACUAAAUUAAUAACCAAGUAAGUCUAAAACCUAAUGUAAGAGAUGAUUUAAUUAUAUAAGUUUACAUUUACAUACCUCGCCAGUAUUUCCUUCUUUUUGCACGACAAGUUGUUGCUCAGGCGCAUUGCCCUCUUAUUGCUUAGGGGCAUUGCCCUCUUGUUGCUGAGUCGGAUUGUCUUGCAUGAUCUCGUUGUAAUCAAUAAAGUACCGACUACCAUCGUCGAUCAUAUUUUGAAUGGCAUCUUCCAUAUAAUCAGGAUCAUCGUGAGGACGGUCAGCUAUUUCUAUGUCUGCAACCAUAUAUAUAUAUAUAUACACUAGAAUAAGAAAUACACUAGAAUAAUAUACUAGCAUAAUAUAUAUAUACUAGAAUAAGAAAUACACUAGAAUAAUAUAAGUGCUAGAGUGCUCCAAACUAAAAAGUCUCCAAACUAUAUAAGAAAUACACUAGAAUAAUAUACUAGCACAAUAUAUUUCAUAAC
rnacentral:lncRNA from 1 species